GACGAACGCUGGCGGCGUGCUUAACACAUGCAAGUCGAACGAUGAAGCCGGAGCUUGCUCUGGUGAAUUAGUGGCGAACGGGUGAGUAACACGUGAGUAACCUGCCCUUGACUCUGGGAUAACUGCGGGAAACUGUAGCUAAUACCGGAUACGACCCUCGGAGGCAUCUCCCGGGGGUGGAAAGAAUUUCGGUCAAGGAUGGACUCGCGGCCUAUCAGCUAGUUGGUGAGGUAAAGGCUCACCAAGGCGACGACGGGUAGCCGGCCUGAGAGGGUGACCGGCCACACUGGGACUGAGACACGGCCCAGACUCCUACGGGAGGCAGCAGUGGGGAAUAUUGCACAAUGGGCGCAAGCCUGAUGCAGCAACGCCGCGUGAGGGAUGACGGCCUUCGGGUUGUAAACCUCUUUUAGCAGGGAGGAAGCGAAAGUGACGGUACCUGCAGAAAAAGCACCGGCUAACUACGUGCCAGCCGCCGCGGUAA
rnacentral:rRNA from 1 species